rnacentral:rRNA from 1 species
UGGGGAAUAUUGGACAAUGGGCGCAAGCCUGAUCCAGCCAUGCCGCGUGAGUGAUGAAGGCCCUAGGGUUGUAAAGCUCUUUCAACGGUGAAGAUAAUGACGGUAGCAGGUAAAGAAACCCCGGCUAACUCCGUGCCAGCAGCCGCGGUAAUACGGAGGGGGUUAGCGUUGUUCGGAAUUACUGGGCGUAAAGCGCACGUAGGCGGACCAGAAAGUUGGGGGUGAAAUCCCGGGGGCUCAACCCCGGAACUGCCUCCAAAACUAUUGGUCUAGAGUUCGAGAGAGGUGAGUGGAAUUCCAAGUGUAGAGGUGAAAUUCGUAGAUAUUUGGAGGAACACCAGUGGCGAAGGCGGCUCACUGGCUCGAUACUGACGCUGAGGUGCGAAAGUGUGGGGAGCAAACAGGAUUAGAUACCCUGGUAGUCCACACCGUAAAACGAUGAAUGCCAGUCGUCGGGUAGCAUGCUAUUCGGUGACACACCU